rnacentral:rRNA from 1 species
GCGCGAAAACUUUACAAUGCUGGCAACAGCGAUAAGGGAACCUCGAGUGCCAGGUUACAAAUCUGGCUGUCGAGAUGCCUAAAAAGCAUUUCAUAGCAAGGGCCGGGCAAGACCGGUGCCAACCGCCGCGGUAACACCGGCGGCUCGAGUGGUAACCGUAAUUAUUUGGUCUAAAGGGUCUGUAGCCGGCCGGAUAAGUCUCUUGGGAAAUCCAGCAGCCUAACUGUUGGGCUCUCAGGAGAGACUAUUCGGCUCGAGGCCGGGGGAGGUGAGAGGUACUUCAGGGGUAGGGGUGAAAUCUUGUAAUCCUUGAAGGACCACCAGUGGCGAAGGCGUCUCACCAGAACGGACCUGACGGCAAGGGACGAAAGCUGGGGGCACGAACC